CACACACUAAACAUGGAUGAAAGAGUAUGACCGGCGGGAGGAGGGGGGCGCUGUAAUGAUUUUUCGCACAGGGCGCCUAAAAGUCUAAGGCCGGCCCUGCUAAAAGUAAAUGGGCACGAGGGACUUCCUGGCAACAUAGCAACUUCAUUAUAAUAAAGUUAUUAUGGUGUUAAGUUUGUAUAUAUUUUGCUGUACAUUAAUAGGAGCCUUUACAUGCCACUUCAUUCACAGAUUAAAU